rnacentral:rRNA from 1 species
ACGUCGAUUGCGCCAAUUCGAGAUGGAUUACUGAAGUUAAGCAACGUUGCGCGUGGUUGAUAUCCGGAUGGGUGACCAUCUGGGCAACCACGUGCUGUUGCCU